rnacentral:rRNA from 1 species
CGACCCCAGGUCAGGCGGGAUAACCCGCUGAA